rnacentral:misc_RNA from 1 species
AAGUCGUAACAAGGUUUCCGUAGGUGAACCUGCGGAAGGAUCAUUACCUUUCAAUGCAGCAGAAUGGGGAUGGUUGAGUUUCUCGCCUCUCUGUUCUGCCUGUAUUCUACCCUUGUUUGUCAUAUACUAUUAUUUCCUCGGCAGGCUUGCUUGCCGAGUGAAACCAAUUAUAACCUAUUUAAUUUUCAAUCAGUGUCUGAACAAAAUUAAUAAUUACAACUUUCAACAACGGAUCUCUUGGUUCUG